rnacentral:misc_RNA from 1 species
CUUGACGAUCGCGCGCGCCACGUUUUAAGAGUAAGAAGAGUGGGGCAAGAGGAUCGCGGAAUAUCAAGAGGAUAAGGAAACGUUUUUGGGAAAGUAAAGAAACUGCAUGCAAAGAAACGACAAGUCGGCUUUAUUCACUGCGAACACGAUCCGUGGAAACGCGACCGAUCGUAAGGUUGGCGCGCAUGUACAGACAGAAAGGGAAGACACGUCCAAAGAAUUCUAAUAAAAAUCUGACACCUCAGGCGCGUUCUCGAAAGAAAGGUAAAGCGACACGAAGAUCCGUAACCCGACGCAGGGGUCGUCGUCGCUUGAAAUUGAAUCGUACUUCCAGAUGAAGAAGGAAAAAAUAAGAAAGGGAAGAAUUAUGGUUACUGCUGCAACAAGAAUAACGAGGUCCGCUCGUAUGACGGAAGAAAAGCGAGAUAUUGCCCUGCUUGAGAUGAACAGCGUCUUUUACCUUAUAUUUAUAAUUAAAUAGUUAAAUGAAACUUAAACAG